GAUUGCACACAGAAUUUCUUCCAAUAAGUGCCAUUUGAUGUGCAAAAGUUCAUUUUGAAGUCCAAUUGUUGUCGUGUAUGGAGAAGAUGGAGUGUUUUUCACCAACGGAGGAAUUACAAGAGGAGCAGCGAGUUUUGGAGGAAGAUGAUAAGUUUGAUAAAAAACACAAGUAAAAUCUGGGGGAGCUGUUGAGUGGACAGAUGAUAUAAUAGAAAAAUUCCAGAGAGGUGGAGGGCUGGAGAUUGGGGUCACAGUGUCUUGUGGGUGGCAUGGAGAGGAAACCUUUACCCAAGGUACCCAGGAUUCUGUCUGUGAGGUUGCUGGUCAUUCUCCGGGACGUCCUCAAAGUUUUCCAUCUCUUCCAAAUUAAAGCUGUCAGAGGUGUUGAACCAGAGCAACUCCAUCUUGAAUAGGAGCUGCGUAAAAUGAGGCUGAGACCUAUUGGGCUGCAUUCCAAGAUGGUUAAGGCAUUCUAAGUCACAGGAUGAGACAGGGGGUUAGCACAAGAUACAGGUCAUAAAGACCUUGCUGAUAAAACAGGCUGCAGUAAAAAAGCCAGCCAAAACCCACCAAAACCAAGAUGGCGACGAGAGUGACCUCUGGUUGUCCUCACUACUACACUCCCACCAGCCUCAUGACAGUUUACAAAUGCCAUGACAAUGUCAGGAAGUUGCCCUAUAUGGUCUAAAGAGGAGAGGCCUGAAUAAUCCACCCCUUGUUUAGCAUAUAAUCAAUAAAUAGUCACAAAAAUGGGCAACCAGCAGCCCUCGGGGCUGCUC
rnacentral:lncRNA from 1 species